GGGUAAAUAAUGAAAGCUUAUAUUGUCUUGAAGAGAGCUAAUGACUAAAAAUUAUGCUCAGUUGGAUUACACUGAGGCCC
ensembl:snoRNA SNORD115 Small nucleolar RNA SNORD115